rnacentral:misc_RNA from 1 species
CCAAGUGAGCCACUGCUCCAAUUAACAUACAGACCAGAAGAGGGUCCUUCUGAAUCUGAAGAAACCAAAUUACCCAGUGAUGAACCUGAGCCAUUGCCUUCAAAUGAUGUUGCCGUCUCCAGUGUUGAGAUUGCACCUCCCACUCCUAAUCCUCCUCAAAACAACGUGGACACUGGAGACUUACUGGGCUUGAGUUAUGAUGCACCUGAUGCAUCAGCUAUUGAAGAAAGAAAUGCAUUGGCUCUGGC